rnacentral:lncRNA from 1 species
CAGGAGACAUACGCCCGUGUGGCUCACAUGGUCAGGAGACGUACAUGUGCCUCAGGCUGUGUGGGAAUCCGAAAUAGGGGCACACAGCCGUGUCCAAACUUGGGUAUUAUCUGACUUGGGUUACAUGGCCAAGCCACACGCCCAUGUGCUAGGCCAUGUGAAAAUACCUAGGCAUUCUGUUUCUAAUUUUAAAGAUGUAGGGGACACACAGCCAGACCACAUGCCCA